UGUGCACUUAAACCCAAAGGUCACGACCCGGCAAUGUCCUGGCUGUGUGUGCGCGUAAAGUAUAAUUGAAACUUGUCUCCUUUCAUUGGCUGUCAAAUGUGCCAUUGAAAGUGAAUUCAUGGUGCAACAAGC